rnacentral:rRNA from 1 species
GAUGAACGCUGGCGGCGUGCCUAAUACAUGCAAGUCGAGCGAACGGACGAGAAGCUUGCUUCUCUGAUGUUAGCGGCGAACGGGUGAGUAACACGUGGAUAACCUACCUAUAAGACUGGGAUAACUUCGGGAAACCGGAGCUAAUACCGGAUAAUAUUUUGAACCGCAUGGUUCAAAAGUGAAAGACGGUCUUGCUGUCACUUAUAGAUGGAUCCGCGCUGCAUUAGCUAGUUGGUAAGGUAACGGCUUACCAAGGCAACGAUGCAUAGCCGACCUGAGAGGGUGAUCGGCCACACUGGAACUGAGACACGGUCCAGACUCCUACGGGAGGCAGCAGUAGGGAAUCUUCCGCAAUGGGCGAAAGCCUGACGGAGCAACGCCGUGUGAGUGAUGAAGGUCUUCGGAUCGUAAAACUCUGUUAUUAGGGAAGAACAUAUGUGUAAGUAACUGUGCACAUCUUGACGGUACCUAAUCAGAAAGCCACGGCUAACUACGUG